rnacentral:lncRNA from 1 species
UAGUUAGCUAUCUGUUUGUCUAUCAUCUAUCUAUCUACUCUAAGACAGGCUGUCCUGGGACUUCUCAACCUCCACCAUCACAUGAGCCCAUUCUCCUACUGAAUAUCCCUGGGCAGUGAGAGUUUCUACAGAAUGCGUGGUGUGGCCUCGGACUCAGGGGUGUGCAUCCUCCCUGUUGACAGAUGGAUGAAGCGGAAACUCCAGACAGACGGAAGCACAGUCUAUGAAGAAAGCCUACCCAGGACACAGCACACGUGGAGAUGUCAGCACAUGCGGGGUUUGGGAGAGGCUCACGGUCUCUUCGCUCAUGACUUCCUGCAACCAAGAAUGCAAUCUGCAGUUAGGGCACCGGACUGGGGGUCGUGGAGGAGCACUAUCCCUGGGGUUAGGGGGAGCACUAUUCCUAGGGUUAGGGGAGCACUAUCCCUGGGGUUUGGGGGAGCACUAUCCCUGGGAGUCAAGGGGGGAGCACUGUUCUUGGGGUUGGGGGCAGCUCC